rnacentral:lncRNA from 1 species
GCGCGCCCGCCCCGGGGCCGGGCUGAGGGCGGUGGCGGCGGGACGGGGACUUCGGUGCCCCGUCCUGGUGUUCAGGGCGCAGGGAGAGCCCUCCUUCCACAGUUCCCCGGGCUGGAGUCACUUAGACCUUCCCGGCGCGCCCCCGGCCGGGGAACAAAACGGACCGCUGUGAUAAUCAUCUCUGAUCUCGAGAUAACUUCCUACGUGCUCCAAGAGGCCGUUUCCUGCCUCUUUAUAGCCUUGUUCCCAGAUAACGGGGUCAAAGCCCUGUCUGGCUCGGGCGGGAGGGAAGAUGGUGUCGCAGCCGCUGAGGAGGAAGGAAGCCCCGGAAAGGACUCAGCAGGGCUCUGGGGCAGCACUUGGCGCCUGGUGGGGAUGAGCUGUUCGAAUUCGAGAGGGAUGUUGGCGCGGUGACCCCACACAGGCACCGAGACCUCUGCGCAGUCUGACUCAGGGUCCGGGGGGCCGGCGGUGCCAGUGCCCCUGUGCAGCUGCAAUGGGCAAGAGGCGCCACAAAACAACUGCGCUAAUUCCCCACUCGUGCCAGAAACCUUUGCAAAUUGUGUGAUUUCUAGCUCAGUCUGGUGACUUUGUGUAAUUUGGGCUUUUGAUUUUGGUUUUCUUUUCGUUUUGCUUGGGGCCUGGCAACGUGAAAUGAAGCAGCACGUGAAAGCAAAAAAACUAGUUAAAAUGGAGAAAUAGAUUUAAGAUAUCUGUCUUGAAGUGCCUAACCAGACUGUUGUCCAGUCUUAUUCCACCUUUGUCGCCUUUCCUUCAUGCUCUGCCUUUUCCAAAAAUGACAACGUAGUCAUUUUUUUUCUCUUUGUUCUUCUUCCUACAUUGGCAACUAGUGCCGACUGAGGUGUCUGGAUUGGAACAUAUGGGCUGUGUCUCUGCAGACAUUUAGCAGGGUUCAUUUAAAAGAGAAGAUUCCUCCAAUGUCAUCCUUAUGUUUUAGACGAAAUCAUCCAGGAAAGUCUCAUAACACCAACUAACACAAAAGGAUCUUAAAGCAGCUCCUGAAUACAUGUACAGGUAUCAUUUUACCAGCUUCUGAAAUACAGCCAUCUCCUGGGUGGAAAACAACAGCUGUUAGUCAUGUACAGCAACACUGGCAAAACAGUGACCCAGAGAUGAAUAAUUACAUCUGAAAAUCCACAUCUAUGCAAAACAUAUUUCAUCCAUUGCUAGGGAACCUUACUUAGUAGCUAUACCUUUGAUCCAUUCCUACUGGUUUAGGUUCUUUUAUCUGCCAAUAAGAGUUUUAAACACAUAUAGACAGGCUGCAAUAGAUUAUGAAGGUUGUUAUGUUUUCUUGUGUCAUUUGAACAGGUUUGGAUUAUUUUCUGUUUGGCCAUGACCAAAAUACAGAUUAAAAGAUAGCACUUGAACUUGCAAUACCAUGUUAAAUAUUGUUUAAAAAGAAUUACAAAAGCCACAAGUUAGCAACAGAUUUAGUAACACAUAGUAUAUAAAAAGGAAAUAAAAAUUGCUAUUGCUGCA